GUGAAGUCAUUGAUGCCAUGCUUCCAGGAAAAGCCUCUAAGCUUCAGAUUGUAAGGAAUCGUACCCCAAACCGACACAGGUGGUCGGGUAGAGAAUACCAAGGCGCUUGAGAGAACUCGGGUGAAGGAACUAGGCAAAAUGGUACCGUAACUUCGGGAGAAGGUACGCUCUCGACGGUGAAGUCCCUCGCGGAUGGAGCUAUUGAGAGUCGCAGAUACCAGGUGGCUGCAACUGUUUAUUAAAAACACAGCACUGUGCAAAAUCGCAAGAUGACGUAUACGGUGUGACGCCUGCCCGGUGCCGGAAGGUUAAUUGAUGGGGUUAGACUUCGGUCGAAGCUCUUGAUCGAAGCCCCGGUAAACGGCGGCCGUAACUAUAACGGUCCUAAGGUAGCGAAAUUCCUUGUCGGGUAAGUUCCGACCUGCACGAAUGGCGUAAUGAUGGCCACGCUGUCUCCACCCGAGACUCAGUGAAAUUGAAAUCGCUGUGAAGAUGCAGUGUACCCGCGGCUAGACGGAAAGACCCCGUGAACCUUUACUACAGCUUGGCACUGAACAUUGACCCUACAUGUGUAGGAUAGGUGGGAGGCUUUGAAGCGCAGUCGCUAGAUUGCGUGGAGCCGUCCUUGAAAUACCACCCUUGUAGUGUUGAUGUUCUAACGUCGACCCCUUAUCGGGGUUGCGGACAGUGCCUGGUGGGUAGUUUGACUGGGGCGGUCUCCUCCCAAAGCGUAACGGAGGAGCACGAAGGUGGGCUAAUCACGGUUGGACAUCGUGAGGUUAGUGCAAUGGCAUAAGCCCGCUUGACUGCGAGAAUGACAAUUCGAGCAGGUGCGAAAGCAGGUCAUAGUGAUCCGGUGGUUCUGAAUGGAAGGGCCAUCGCUCAACGGAUAAAAGGUACUCCGGGGAUAACAGGCUGAUACCGCCCAAGAGUUCAUAUCGACGGCGGUGUUUGGCACCUCGAUGUCGGCUCAUCACAUCCUGGGGCUGAAGUCGGUCCCAAGGGUAUGGCUGUUCGCCAUUUAAAGUGGUACGCGAGCUGGGUUUAGAACGUCGUGAGACAGUUCGGUCCCUAUCUGCCGUGGGCGUUGGAGAAUUGAAAGGGGCUGCUCCUAGUACGAGAGGACCGGAGUGGACGAACCUCUGGUGUUCGGGUUGUGUCGCCAGACGCAUUGCCCGGUAGCUAAGUUCGGGAUCGAUAACCGCUGAAAGCAUCUAAGCGGGAAGCGAGCC
rnacentral:rRNA from 1 species